GCUAACAUUGAAUAUUUGAAUCACGUUAAUUUACUAAUGAUGCUCUUUUCUGUUUUAAUAGCGGACAGUAAGGGAUCUACACAUUAAUGCUGGCACAACGUCCCCACAACACCUGUGUACUGUCCGCUGGUCAGUCAGCUGAGAGGAAGGUACACAGAUGGAGAGUGGCGCAUGGCAGAAUUUGAAAAUGCAGCUGCAAAUCGGUGUUGGACUGAAAGAGAUGCAUAAGUCGUCAGACACCCCAGACGGAGCAAAGGAACGGAACAUACAAAAGAGAAGACUGCGUCGCCAGAGACGGGUCCUACUAACUGCUCAGCUGAAGGUUGGCAGUGGAGCAUAAGCAUGUAUCCAGACCGAAGGUUGGCAACUGAGCAUGUAUCCUAACGGUAACCAGUCUGACAAUGGAGGCCGGCCAGGCCGGGCAGUGAGAUACAUGGAACAGGGCAUGGACGUCGAAGGACCGAGACAUCAGGCGUGCUUCUUCCUUCCAGAGAUCCUGACCACCGUGAAUGAUCAUCCUCCUGACAUGGCAACGGGAACAGAC